rnacentral:tRNA from 1 species
GGGCCUUGGGGUAACCUGGCUAGCCUUCUAGCUUGGGGUGCUAGAGAUUCGAGUCGUUCUGGUAUCGGAAUUCCGAUUCCACCUCGCGAAAAUUCA